GCCAGAUACAAGCCACACAGCCAGCGCCCUGUUAGCUAUACAGGCAGGAGGGAGGCUGUGAGAUUUCACCCCAGGAACUGGCAACAAGAGCUACAUAGCAUUGGCACUUCUGGCAAAGAGAUUGGCAUGUCCUACCUUGAGAAGUGGAAAAAGGAAGACAACAGCUAAAGGACAAAAGACUUUCAAGUGUAGGUAAAAUAUCUUAAAUUGAAAAUUCAUCACAGGCUGUUCUGUAAUAUAAUAAAGGGAAUUUAAUAGUGAAAUACCCAUUAACAUGCUUUUUUGCUUACUUAUUCUGAGCAGGACCAGCAAAGAGCUGCAGAGCUUCUGCAUUUUCUGGAAAUUGGAAAGUUACAGAACUUUGUAAUCUCAAAGAAGAUUAUUCUGCUGCCAUUGUUAAAAAUACAAAAGUGAAUCUUCA